UACGGGGGGGGCAAGCGUUGUUCGGAAUUACUGGGCGUAAAGGGCUCGUAGGUGGCCAACUAAGUCAGACGUGAAAUCCCGCGGCUUAACCGAGGAACUGCGUCUGAUACUGGAUGGCUUGAGUUUGGGAGAGGGAUGCGGAAUUCCAGGUGUAGCGGUGAAAUGCGUAGAUAUCUGGAGGAACACCGGUGGCGAAGGCGGCAUCCUGGACCAACACUGACGCUGAACAGCGAAAGCCAGGGGAGCAAACGGG
rnacentral:rRNA from 1 species